GAUGAACGCUAGCGGCAGGCCUAACACAUGCAAGUCGAGGGAGAAGCCCUUUCGGGGGCAGAAACCGGCGCACGGGUGUGUAACGCGUAUGCAACCUACCUUUCACAGGGGGAUAGCCCGAAGAAAUUUGGAUUAAUACCCCAUAAUAUUAUUGGAUGGCAUCAUUUGAUAAUUAAAACUGCGGUGGUGAAAGAUGGGCAUGCGUCCUAUUAGCUAGUUGGAGUGGUAACGGCACCCCAAGGCUACGAUAGGUAGGGGUCCUGAGAGGGAGAUCCCCCACACUGGUACUGAGACAGGGACCAGACUCCUACGGGAGGCAGCAGUGAGGAAUAUUGGUCAAUGGUCGGAAGACUGAACCAGCCAUGCCGCGUGCAGGAAGAAUGCCUUAUGGGUUGUAAACUGCUUUUAUAUGGGAAGAAUAAGGCGUACGUGUACGUUGAUGACGGUACCAUAUGAAUAAGCAUCGGCUAACUCCGUG
rnacentral:rRNA from 1 species